UACGAAGGGGGCUAGCGUUGCUCGGAAUUACUGGGCGUAAAGCGCACGUAGGCGGCUUCUUAAGUCGGUGGUGAAAUCCUGGAGCUCAACUCCAGAACUGCCUUCGAUACUGGGAGCUCGAGUCCGGGAGAGGUGAGUGGAACUGCGAGUGUAGAGGUGAAAUUCGUAGAUAUCCGCAAGAACACCAGUGGCGAAGGCGGCUCACUGGCCCGGUACUGACGCUGAGGUGCGAAAGCGUGGGGAGCAAACAGG
rnacentral:rRNA from 1 species